rnacentral:rRNA from 1 species
GACGAACGCUGGCGGCGUGCUUAACACAUGCAAGUCGAACGGGCCUGUCUUCUUUUUUGGGGGUGGGUUGAGUGGCGAACGGGUGAGUAUCACGUGAGUAACCUGCCCUUCGGUCCUGGAUAACCGCUUGAAAGGGCGGCUAAUACGGGGUGGUCCGGUUGGUCCGCAUGGGCUGGUCGGGAUAGAUUCACUGUUUUUGGUGUUUCGGCGGGGGACGGGCUCGCGGCCUAUCAGCUUGUUGGUGGGGUGAUGGCCUACCAAGGCGGUGACGGGUAGCCGGCCUGAGAGGGUGGGCGGCCACACUGGGACUGAGAUACGGCCCAGACUCCUGCGGGAGGCAGCAGUGGGGGGUAUUGCACAAUGGGCGGAAGCCUGAUGCAGCGACGUCGCGUGAGGGAUGGAGGCCUUCGGGUUGUGAACCUCUGUUUCCGGUGGUGAAGGCCCUGUCCGUGUGGUGGGGUUGACGGUAGCCGGGGAUGAAGCGCCGGCUAACUACGUG